CAUUGCUCUGUCUCUCCUGUGCUUCCUCCUGCUAAGAAUGCCACACAUUCUUUAGGUGACACUCUAGAGAUGAACUCUUCUCCAGGCUUCGUGACUGUGGUCCUCUUGCUGCUUGGACAAAGUCAUGGAGUCUCAGUGACCCAGAUGGAAGGCCAAGUGACCCUCUCCGAAGGGAAGUCCCUGACUAUAAACUGUACUUAUUCAACAACAGGGUCCCCCACUCUUUUCUGGUAUGUCCGGUACCCUGGAGAAGGUCCACAGCUCCUCCUGAAAGCCUUGAAGAACAAGGAGAAGGGAAGUCACAAAGGUUUUGAAGCCACCCUACAAAGCAAAUCCACAUCCUUCCACUUGGAGAAGUCCUCAGUGCAAGCGUCAGAUUCGGCCGUGUACUACUGUGCCCUGAGUGACACAGUGACAGGGACUGCAGGGGGAGCUGAGCACAAACUCUGAGCAAACAGGGGCCCAGAUGCCUAGCGUCUCUGACCGAUCCACUCUGGCUCCAGCAGAGUGUAUGGCUGUUUGUCCCUCAGUGUCUGCUUGACACAAAAGUCACACAAAUGGCUAGAGCACAGGAACCAGAGGGAAGGUUCCCCAACCCCAGCUGCUCAUUCGUGCAAUUGAAAAGCCAGUCGUUCCUCAGCCAGGACCUAAGUAAUUUCAAGGUGAAGCCACAGAAAAUUGACGUGGUCUCUUGCUCAUCCUGCAGUGACAGUCCAGCCCCACAAGUUGUUCAGGCCACCCUGGGGGUACUGCUGUGUCUCAUCACACUUUUAUAGUGUCAGGCUGUGCCCGAGAAGGUGGCAUCUGCCCCAUGUCUCCCUGAUGGAGAAUGGGCAGGAGAGGUGAUGGGAGAGCUACAGCCCAAACCAGGUUUGGAUAGAGAAAGAAGGGGAGGGAGGAGAGGAGGGGGACACAUGUCAGUG